AUUGAACGCUGGCGGCAGGCCUAACACAUGCAAGUCGAGCGAGCGGCGGACGGGUGAGUAAUGUAUGGGGACUGCCCGAUAGAGGGGGAUAACUACUGGAAACGGUGGCUAAUACCGCAUACUAUCGGAUAACCCAGAUGGGAUUAGCUAGUAGGUGGGGUAAAGGCUCACCUAGGCGACGAUCUCUAGCUGGUCUGAGAGGGUGAGCAGCCACACUGGGACCGGGAAACGGCCCAGACUCCUACGGAGGCAGCAGUGGGGAAUAUUGCACAAGGGGGGCAAGCCUGAUGCAGCCAUGCCGGGUGUAUGAAGAAGGCCCUAGGGUUGUAAAGUACUUUUAGCGGGGAGGAGUUAACCGCAGAAGAAGCACCGGCUAACUCCGUGCCAGCAGCCGCGGUAAUUC
rnacentral:rRNA from 1 species